rnacentral:rRNA from 1 species
AACGAACGCUGGCGGCAUGCCUAACACAUGCAAGUCGAACGAGACCUUCGGGUCUAGUGGCGCACGGGUGCGUAACGCGUGGGAACCUGCCCUUAGGUUCGGAAUAACUCCCCGAAAGGGGUGCUAAUACCGGAUAAUGUCUUCGGACCAAAGAUUUAUCGCCUUUGGAUGGGCCCGCGUUGGAUUAGCUAGUUGGUAGGGUAAAAGCCUACCAAGGCGACGAUCCAUAGCUGGUCUGAGAGGAUGAUCAGCCACACUGGGACUGAGACACGGCCCAGACCCCUGGGGGGGGCAGGAGGGGGGAAUUUGGAACAUGGGGCGAAAGCCUGUUCCACCAUGGCCGGGGGAGUGAUAAAGGCCUUAGGGUGGAAAAGCUUUUUUACCCGGAAUGUAAAUAACGGACCCGGGGAAAAAAGCCCGGGUUAACUCCGG